rnacentral:misc_RNA from 1 species
GAUGAAGAACGCAGUGAAACGCGAUAAGUAAUGUGAAUUGCAGAAUCCAGUGAAUCAUCGAAUCUUUGAACGCACAUUGCGCCCGCCAGCAUUCUGGCGGGCAUGCCUGUUCGAGCGUCAUUUCAACCCUCGACCUCCCCUUGGGGAGGUCGGCGUUGGGGACCGGCAGCACACCGCCGGCCCUGAAAUGGAGUGGCGGCCCGUCCGCGGCGACCUCUGCACAGUAAUACAGCUCGCACCGGGACCCCGACGCGGCCACGCCGUAAAACACCCAACUUCUGAACGUUGACCUCGAAUCAGGUAGGACUACCCGCUGAACUUAAGCAUAUCAAUAAGCGGAGGA